rnacentral:rRNA from 1 species
UUUUNCUUGACAUCCCGAUCGCGGAUUACAGAGAUGUUUUNCUUCAGUUCGGCUGGAUCGGAGACAGGUGCUGCAUGGCUGUCGUCAGCUCGUGUCGUGAGAUGUUGGGUUAAGUCCCGCAACGAGCGCAACCCUCGCCCUUAGUUGCCAGCAUUCAGUUGGGCACUCUAAGGGGACUGCCGGUGAUAAGCCGAGAGGAAGGUGGGGAUGACGUCAAGUCCUCAUGGCCCUUACGGGCUGGGCUACACACGUGCUACAAUGGUGGUGACAGUGGGCAGCGAGACAGCGAUGUCGAGCUAAUCUCCAAAAAGCCAUCUCAGUUCGGAUUGCACUNUUGAACUCGAGUGCAUGAAGUUGGAAUCGCUAGUAAUCGCCGGAUCAACAUGCCGCGGUGAAUCGUACCCGGCCUUGUACACACCGCCGCACACCAUGGAGUUGGUUUACCCGAAGCGAUNGCUACCGAAGGAGNAAGNCNACACGGANGGGCAGCACUGGGUGUUUUNCUUGACAUCCCGAUCGCGG